GCCUGUAAGCCAUAAAGAGAUUAAGGCACCACUGGGAGUUGAACCCAAGAUCUCCUGUUUACUAGAUAAGUGCUUUAGCCAGCUAAGCCAUGGUGCCUGCCUCAA